UGGGACUCAAAACAAGCUCCCUGACAAAUCCCCCAAAUGUUCCUUGGCCACAAGCUGUUCCUAUGUGCAUGGGUUAGCUGCGAGGGAAUAUCCCCAGUAGCUGAAGGCAGCAUACAUAUGCUAGCCCUUGGCCUGAGAGGGUCGGGGAGACUGUCCAUAUGGCAGAAAUGCCUUAGCUGAGUGGAAAGCUUGCUUUACUUCUUCGUCAACACAAAGAGCUGCCAGCUGACAGGACUCUGGGUCCUCCUGUCUGCCACUGUAAAAUUAUAUGCUUCAUGCUUGCCCCCCUUUGCUGCCAAAAGGAUUGCAAGGAGAGCAGAAACAGGCAGGGCAUUUUUUUUAAAAUAAGCAUAUAACAUGUGAGGGAAAUCCCAUGCAGACCACAUGAAUGGUGCCCUUUUCAUUCUUCCUGGCCCGGGUUUGCAUUUGGGGAAAACACUGAACAUGCUAGAUGCUGUUUUGUGUUUUCCUCCAGACAAUGUGAUCUAGCACUGGACAUCCUUCUUUUAAGCCUAUGUAACCAACAUGAGUUGUUUAGCUUAUUUUGUAGUUGUUGAUAUGUUAACAGUGCUUUAUAGAUUGCAAUUGUUUUGCUGACGAUUUGUUAAUUAUUCUGUAUGAUUUAUGCAGGGUUUGUGAUGUCCUAUCAUGUUAUUGUUAUUUAUUGUUUGUAAGUCACUUUGGGGUUCAUUUGAAAGAAAUGUGGCACUGAAACAGAAGAAAUCAAUCAAAUAGUAAAGAAGUGGCUUAAUUAGGCCUGUUACUUUAAGGAGCUCCAAGGCUUUUAAGAGCAGGUGUGUAAAUUGGGGUGGGGAGAGAGAGAAAGCAACCCAAGGCUUUGGAAGCCAUUUUGAUUAAGAGCUGCUGAAGAGCUGAAGAAGGAUUUCAGGGCAGGCCUGGCCUACCUUGUUUUAAAGGGUCCCAGGGGUGGAGUACUGUGCUUACUCAGGCUUUUGUGCCCAGAUAGAUUCUGCUAAUAGGCCAGCACUCGGCGGAAACAGGGAGAAGAAUUUUCAUGUCGUGAUAAAAAGACACCCUUGAAGAAAGAAUAGAGGACCAAGGUUUGUUGAAAGAAUAUACUUAUGUGAAACUGUAAUGCUGCAAUCCUACACGAAUUUCAAAGAGUUUAUCAGGCCAGCUGUGUUUGCUGGAGUUACUGGACACUCCAGAGAAGGCCGACAAACUUCAAAAAGCAAUUUAAAGCAUUGUUCAGAUGGGAGACAUGUGACCAUGGUGGCCAACUUCAAGACUCAGACAAAAAUGGAACCAGGAGGAGUUGGGGAGAGGCAAAAAAACCCCCACAGUUAGCCAUGUGCCCAAAACUAGAGUAGCUGGUGUAGGAGUGCAGUGGCCGUUGCUAGCUGGGCCUAAGGGAGAAACAAGAGGGCAUAGAAACAGAAGUAGUUGCAAAAAUAUCCAUUCUAGAAAAACCAUAGAAAGAAAUGGAUAUUGAGUAGUGUGGAAUAAUCAGUCAUAUAUAACCAACAUGUUCUAAUUAAUGCAUGAAGGGGUUAAGACCAUAGAGUAAGCUGUCCUGCCAGGCUUAGUUAGGUCACUCUUCUCAAUUUGGGAAUAAGGAUUAUCUAGCCUUUGCCCUUCCCAUUCCACCAUGUGACCCUUACCAGUAAGGAGUUCUAAGAUGGUUGCUCCAGCUUAGCUGUGCGGCUUAAGCAAGUCUCCUUUAUGUUUCUAUACAAAUAAUUUAGAAACAGCCACCUUUUAUAACCUACUUUUUAUUGCUUGUGUUUUCUAACUGCUUUAUGGGAAAGCACAUGAAUCUAACCUUUGA